GCGAAGGGCUGGGGUCCUAGGAGCGCAGCCCCCCGCGGCUGCGCGCUGCGCGAAGCGGUGACAUCACCAGGCGGGGAGGAGCGCGCGGCUCCGUGCCAGGCUCAGCCGGGGCUCCUCGGCGGCCGCGGCCAUGACUCAGGGUCCGGGUGGCCGCGCGGCCCCCGAGCCCGAGGCGCCCACCACCUUCUGCGCGCUGUUGCCGCGCAUGCCGCAGUGGAAGUUUGCGGCACCCGGCGGCUUCCUGGGUCGCGGUCCGGCGGCGGCGCGCGCGGCGGGGACGGCUGAGGCGCAGCCCGAGCCAGGGGUCCCCGCGCUGACCGCCGUGCUGGGCGCCUGCGAACCGCGCUGCGCCGCGCCCUGCCCGCUGCCCGCGCUCGGCCGCUGCCGGGGUUCGGGAACGCGGUGCGCACGGGGGACCCCAGACGUCGCCGAUGAGUGGGCGCGCAAGGGCGGCUUCAUCCACAAGCCAGCUCACGGCUGGCUGCACCCCGACGCCAGGGUCCUGGGGCCCGGGGUCUCUUACAUCGUGCGGUACAUGGGCUGUAUUGAGGUGCUCCGGUCCAUGCGCUCUCUGGAUUUCAACACCCGAACGCAGGUGACGAGGGAAGCCAUCAACCGGCUCCAUGAGGCCGUGCCUGGCGUCCACGGCUCCUGGAAGAAGAAGGCCCCAAACAAGGCGCUGGCUUCCAUCCUGGGGAAGAGCAACCUGCGUUUCGCUGGCAUGAGCAUCUCCAUCAACAUCUCUGUGGAUGGCCUCAACCUGUCUGUUCCUGCUACCCGCCAGAUCAUUGCCAACCAUCAUAUGCAAUCCAUUUCCUUCGCUUCGGGUGGAGACACGGACAUGACUGAUUACGUGGCCUAUGUGGCCAAGGACCCCAUCAACCAGAGAGCCUGCCACAUCUUGGAGUGCUGUGAGGGUCUAGCCCAGAGCAUCAUCAGCACUGUAGGCCAAGCCUUCGAGCUGCGCUUCAAGCAAUACCUGCACAGUCCCCCCAAGGCCAUAGUGCCCCCCGAAAGGCUGACAGGGCUGGAGGAGUCGGCCUGGGGUGACGACGACGAGGCCAUGGACCACAAUUACUAUAACAGCAUUCCAGGGAAGGAACCACCCCUGGGUGGGCUGGUGGACUCCAGACUGGCUGUCACACAGCCCUGUGCCCUGGCGACACUUGGAGACCUCGGACAGGGAAUGUCACCUGCACGGAGAGAUACCCGGGGCUUGCCAUGGGACUUGGGUCCCUCCGGAACAGCCCCACCUGGGGAUGGCUACGUGCAGGCAGAUGCUCGAGGGCCACAUGACUAUGAGGAGCACCUGUACGUCAACACCCAGGGCCUGGACACUAUGGAGUCUGAGGACAUGUUCGAGGCCCCUCUGCUGCCUGAGGACAGCCCCAAGAAGGACCUGUUUGACAUGCGACCCUUUGAGGAUGCCCUGAAGUUGCACGAGUGCACAGUCGCAACAGGCAUCACUGCAGCCCCGUUCCCUUUGGAGGACCAGUGGCCCAGCCCCCCUACCCGCAGGGCCCCCAUUGCACCCACAGAGGAGCAAUUGAGGCAGGAGCCCUGGUACCAUGGACGCAUGAGCCGUCGGGCUGCGGAGAAGCUGCUUCGUGCCGAUGGGGACUUCCUUGUGAGAGACAGCAUCACCAACCCGGGGCAGUAUGUCCUCACAGGCAUGCACGCAGGGCAGCCCAAACAUCUGCUGCUGGUGGACCCCGAGGGUGUGCCUCUCCGAGCCCCCAGCCUGGGUGGCUGUUCCACAAGCAGGAUGGCAGUUGCGGCUUCUCAGUGCAGUCAAUCUUGCUGGAAUCAGCUGCUCUGGCUCCUGCUCAGUCUCACUGUGGAGCCCUGUCUGACUGACGCUUCCUCUGUAGACUUCAGCCUACUUUGGAACUCAGAGCUCUGCCCCGGAGUGCUGGGAUUAAGGAUUUUGCUGGUGCCAUGAGAACCCAUAAGCAGCCAUUUCUGAAGCACUCCAGGCUGGGGAAGUCCUUCUGACUUCGUGGGGACUUAGAGGCCUUUUCUAGGCUCCUGCUGGGGAAAGAUUGGGCUUGGAGCCUUCUCAGCCACGGAAGCCAUAGUGAUUUUACUGUCUAGAUUAGUAAUUCCCAACCUUCCUCAUGCUGUGGCCCUUUAAUACAGUUCCUCAUGCUGUGCGACCCCAGCCAUACAACUGAUUCAUUGUGGCUUCAUAACUGUCGAUUUUCCAGUGUUGUUUAGGCGGGACAUCUGACAUCUGACCCCUGUGAAAGGGUCGUUCCACCCCAGAGGGUUGCAACCCACAGGUUGAGAACUGAUAGUCUAGCUGGACCCUUGUGUGAUUUCGGGGUGUCUUGGUUUCCUGGGGUUCUGAAGCACGUGACCACAGAUGAUACAGCCUAAAAGAGGGUGGGACUUGUCCUGAGGAGAUCUCUGUGCCAGCCCUUAGCCGGAGCCUGGGGGUGGUUGGUAAUCUCUGCCGUCUUUGGUUUGCAGACACAUCGGCUCCGUCUCUUCUUCUUUGACUUGUAUGCAUGCACAUGGCAUCUCCCUCUUGGGGCUUCCUCUCUUUCUUGAGGCAGGGUCUAACUGUGCAGCAGUGGUUGUCCUGGAGCUUGUAGACCAGGCUAGCCUUUGCCCUCUUGAAUGCUGGGUUAAGGGCAAACAGUUUCCCUCUUUCUCUUAAGGCAUGGUCUCUCACUGAAGUUGGAGCUCAGAGAUUUAGGUUGGCUGGUGAGCAGGCUCCAAGGGGCCCACCUUGGGCUGGAUCUUCUCUUAGCACUGGGGUAGCAGGUGCACACAGGUGCAGGUGCACACAGGUGCAGGUGCACACAGUUUUCAUACAGAGUUGGGGGCUCCAGAUUCAGAUCUCCAUGCUGUGCAGCAGGCACGUUACUGACCAAACUCCUCAGCUUUUCAACUUUUUAUUGUUAGUUUUGAGACAGAGUCUAUGAGGCUGUCCUCAAACUCAAAAUCCUCCUGCCUCAGCCUCUCUGAGCGCUAGGCUCAUGGGUGUGCCUUAUCACACUGGGCCUGUGGUUCUGGAGUCUUGGGGCUGGUUCUUGGGUGGAGCCCUAUGCUCCACAAGUGCUUACCCAGCAGGUCUAAGCUGGUGGGAGUGUGGCACGUGGGAUGCCGUCAGGGAUGGGUGCUGAGGUUUCUGCCCACAGGUGCGGACAAAGGACGUGCUGUUUGAGAGCAUCAGCCACCUCAUAGACUACCACCUGAAGAACGGGUUGCCCAUUGUGGCUGCCGAGAGUGAGUUGCACCUGCGGGGAGUGGUCUCCCGGGAGCCAUGAGCCAGGUGACAGCUUCUACC